rnacentral:other from 1 species
UCAGUCCUGGAAUGUACGAAUCCCCUAUUUUUCCUGAACCUACAUUUGAAUUAAAGGGAUUCCUAUAUCGUCGGUCACAAUGUCAGGCCUCAAGCAACUACCGGAGGAAGACAGCGGAGCGAGUGCGGUAACCCACCUGGCGAAGGCUAGGCGUCAGCUCCUUAGGAACGGCAUUCCGGGAUGUA